rnacentral:rRNA from 1 species
UACGUAGGGGGCAAGCGUUGUCCGGAUUUAUUGGGCGUAAAGAGCGUGUAGGCGGCCGUACAGGUCAGCUGUGAAAACUCGAGGCUCAACCUCGAGACGUCGGUUGAAACCGUACGGCUAGAGUCCGGAAGAGGAGAGUGGAAUUCCCGGUGUAGCGGUGAAAUGCGCAGAUAUCGGGAGGAACACCAGCGGCGAAGGCGGCUUUCUGGACCAAUACUGACGCUGAGACGCGAAAGCGUGGGGAGCAAACGGG